rnacentral:rRNA from 1 species
AUUGAACGCUGGCGGCAUGCUUUACACAUGCAAGUCGAACGGCAGCGCGGGCUUCGGCCUGGCGGCGAGUGGCGAACGGGUGAGUAAUACAUCGGAACGUGCCCAGUAGUGGGGGAUAGCUCGGCGAAAGCCGGAUUAAUACCGCAUACGACCUGAGGGUGAAAGCGGGGGGUCUUCGGACCUCGCGCUAUUGGAGCGGCCGAUGGCAGAUUAGCUAGUUGGUGGGGUAAAGGCCUACCAAGGCGACGAUCUGUAGCUGGUCUGAGAGGACGACCAGCCACACUGGGACUGAGACACGGCCCAGACUCCUACGGGAGGCAGCAGUGGGGAAUUUUGGACAAUGGGCGAAAGCCUGAUCCAGCAAUGCCGCGUGUGUGAUGAAGGCCUUCGGGUUGUAAAGCACUUUUGGCGGGAACGAAAAGGACUGUGCCAAUACCACGGUUCGAUGACGGUACCCGCAGAAUAAGCACCGGCUAACUACGUG